rnacentral:rRNA from 1 species
UACGUAGGGUGCGAGCGUUGUCCGGAAUUAUUGGGCGUAAAGGGCUCGUAGGCGGUUCGUCGCGUCGGCUGUGAAAUCCCGAGGCUCAACCUCGGGUCUGCAGUCGAUACGGGCGGACUGGAGUUCGGCAGGGGAGACUGGAAUUCCUGGUGUAGCGGUGAAAUGCGCAGAUAUCAGGAGGAACACCGGUGGCGAAGGCGGGUCUCUGGGCCGAUACUGACGCUGAGGAGCGAAAGCGUGGGGAGCGAACAGG